CCACACCUUUGUCACAGGAGCGCGGAUUGCAGAGGUGGAAAAUCCAGGUUCAGAGAGGAAAAGUCCAGUCCCUGGUAUUUUUAGUUCCAAUCGCCUGGAUUUGCUAAUCAGUGCAGGGGGUAGAAGUAGUCAGUGGAAUCAGCUGGCUGAGUCUUUAGAUGGAAGAAACACCUGGCAGGACUUUAUGACCCCGGUACUUUCCCGAUCUAGUGUAUCGCCGUGUUAGGCUCGUCGUUCGGCGUUCCUGGGGCUGAACGCUCCGCGAAAGUCCUUUAAAAUUCCCCUCCUCCCCCCGCUGCUGUUCGUGUGUCAAAGAUGCGGGGGUCCUCCCGUUGCUAUAGAAACAGCGGCCAGGAUUCCGCGGAGGAGCCAGGCGGAACGUGAGAUCUGCGGAGGGGAGCGCAGGUCAGCGCCGUGGGAAAACAAACACGCGGAUGACGCCCGGCAAAAUGGAGGCGCGGCAGCUGCAUGGGAGUUGAGGUUUGAAACCGGAAGGACACAGGCGGUCAUUCGGGUGGACGAUGUUCUCGACGCCUGUGCAAGGUUUAUGUAGCGCGGUGGUUAGCAUCGAAAAUGCGAUGCGCGAGAGCGGGCAACUUCCUUCCUGUGUGUGGUGGAGAGCAAGGGGGUUCCAAAGAGGGAAAUGUCCCCCAGAGAGAGUGAGAGGGCAAGUCUGUUUAUUUGGCACACUCACCCACAGCCUCACUCGCUCGCUCACCUGAGACAUCCUCUGCAAACAGAAGAGCAGACUGGACCCCUCUACCCCCACCAUGAUCACCAGAGUCCUCCUAGUCAUCGCCCUCCUCGGCUGCCUGGCUCAUGCACAGUAUGGUUCCAAUGGAAAGUGCGUGUGUCGCCGUACCCGCGAAAGAUUCGGGAACCCCAAGGCCAUCCAGGACAUCCAGAUCUACCCCCCUUCCCACACCUGCGAUAAAAUGGAGAUUAUCGUUUUCCAAAAAAACGGGAUGCAGUACUGCUUGGAUCCGAAAGUGAAGAAGGUCCAGGAGCUGAUGAGGCACCUGCAGAGCAAGUGACGGCAGACCAGUUCACCGUCCCGUCCCUGUCCACCCCUGUCUUUAAGCAUGAAUUCUGUUUUUCCCGAGGAGGGGUCAGUAGACCUCUGGGCCCCCGUCUGACGUCAGCAUCACUGACCAAUAAGAGUCCAACACCUGGAACUUCUUCCUGAAUAAUUUCCGGCAAAUUCCAUAUCCAUGCCAAAACAUUUGCAAAAAAAAAAAAAAGCUACAUUUCUGUCUUAUCACAGUGUACUUUUAGUAUGUGUGUAUACAUAUGUUAAAGUCAUUACUUGUUUCAUUGUUGUUGUAUUUUUUUGCUUCUAUCUAGUGAGUGAUCUGUACUAUGCAAUUGAAUUUAAAUAAAACAGCUUUACAUAAUUUUACAUUGA